CAUUGAGAAGCUUUGUAUAAGCGCUAGCCUUUUAAGCUAGAGAAGGGGAAUAUAAACCCCCCUCAAUGG
rnacentral:tRNA from 1 species